rnacentral:rRNA from 1 species
UAAUCCAACCAUGCCGCGUGAGUGAUGACGGCUUUCGGGUUGUAAAACUCUUUUAGUAGGGAAGAUAAUGACGGUACCUACAGAAAAAGCACCGGCAAACUUCGUGCCAGCAGCCGCGGUAAUACGAGGGGUGCUAGCGUUGUUCGGAAUCACUGGGCGUAAAGGGUACGUAGGCGGUUGGACAAGUCGAUUGUGAAAGCCCCAGGCUCAACCUGGGAACUGCAGUCGAAACUGUUUAACUAGAGUAUGUUCGGGGACAGUGGAAUUCCUAGUGUAGGGGUGAAAUCCGUAGAUAUUAGGAGGAAUACCGGUGGCGAAAGCGACUGUCUAGGCCAUUACUGACGCUGAGGUACGAAAGCGUGGGGAGCAAACAGGAUUAGAUACCCUGGUAGUCCACGCAGUAAACGAUGAGUGCUAGUUGUCGGGAUCUUAGAUCUCGGUGGUGAAGCUAACGCGUUAAGCACUCCGCCUGGGGACUACGGCCGCAAGGCUAAAACU